CCGGCACGGGUGGAGUAACACGUAUCCAACCUGCCGUCUACUCUUGGCCAGCCUUCUGAAGGAAGAUUAAUCCAGGAUGGCAUCAUGAGUUCACAUGUCCGCAUGAUUAAAGGUAUUUUCCGGUAGACGAUGGGGAUGCGUUCCAUUAGAUAGUAGGCGGGGUAACGGCCCACCUAGUCAACGAUGGAUAGGGGUUCUGAGAGGAAGGUCCCCCACAUUGGAACUGAGACACGGUCCAA
rnacentral:rRNA from 1 species